GCCAUGUUUCUGUUAAUUCUCUAGUUUAAUAGUUAUGUCAAUUCACUAGCUUCAUGUUUAUACAGAUGAAGGUAACCAAACUAGUUUUACCUGUGAACAGCUGCCUGUGAUAAAGCUAAAUUUCUGAAUGUCUUUAAUUGAAAUUUUGAAAAUUAUUAACAGGAAGUAAAUAACAUGGAUCACAUCAUAAACUGCACUCAAGAAAAUCCCUAAAAUGCUUUUCCUUUAUUACAACAAAUAAGGGUGCAGAGGGUCACAUGGAAUGUUUCAUCUUUUGUCUGCUUUGUUUUUUUUAUUCUUUUAAGGAAAGGAAUUUGAGGGGUGGUUUAAACAGCAGUGCCUGGAAUCAAAGUAUUUCCUACGACACCCUCUAAUGUACUUCCUUCUCUCCAUGCCCACGGGGUCUGCAGGAUUCUCAUCUUUUCAUGUUCACAGUAUUAAAAUACUUCAUACAAUACCAAAGACAGUUCCCAACCAACCAUCAAAUAUGGGUAUUUCUUCCAUCUCCUCAUAAAUGCAAAAGGAAAUAACUGCAUUAGGAUCAUUCUUUUUUAUUUGGAGAUGAAAGUCUCACUCUGUCAUCCAGGCUGGAGUGCAGUGGCAUGAUCUCUGCUCACUGCAGCCUCAGCCUCCUGGGUUCAAGCAAUUCUCCUGCCUCAACCUUCCAAGUAGCUAGGACUACAGGCGCACACCGUCACAUCCGGCUAAUUUUUUUUUUCUUUUUUCUUUUUUUUUUUUUUUUUGAGACGGAGUCUCGCUCUGUCGCCCAGGCUGGAGUGCAGUGGCGCGAUCUCGGCUCACUGCAAGCUCCGCCUCCUGGGUUCACACCAUUCUCCUGCCUCAGCCUCCCGAGUAGCUGGGACUACAGGCGCCUGCCACCAAGCCUGGCUAUUUUCUUUUUUGUAUUUUUAGUAGAGGCGGGGUUUCACUGUGUUAGCCAGGAUGGUCUCGAUCUCCUGACCUCAUGAUCCACCCGCCUCUGCCUCCCAAAGUGCUGGGAUUACAGGCGUGAGCCACCGCGCCUGGCUACAUCCGGCUAAUUUUUUGUAUUUUAGUAGAGAUGGGGUUUCACCAUGUUGCCCAAGCUGGUCUCAAAACUCCUGAGCUCGGGCAGUCUGCCUGCCUCGGCCUCCCAAAGUGCUAGGAUUACAGGUGUGAGCCACCGCGCCCAGCCUAGGAUCAUUUUUUUCUGUCCUAGGUGUUGAUUUUUUAAAUAAGGGUUUGCAGUACUGGUGUUUAGUGGUGCAACAAUUUCCAUUUAAUCAUCUGGCAUACUCAAAGAGAGGAUACCAGAUGACUAAGAGUAUACCUCGCAGAGAGUAUACCAGAUGGCUGAGAGUAUAUCUCACAGAGAGUAUACCAGAUGACUGAAUGGGGAUUAGAGCGAGUAUUUAAACUCUUCAUUCAUUGAUCCUGUUAAAGGAAAGCUUACUUAAUAACAUAAACUCUUGGUUAUGAAUUAGAUGUUUCUCCUAUGAAAGCUUGUGGGCAUCUUUGAGCAACUUAAUACCUGAUUAUUUCUGUUCAAAAAUGCCGAGAACUAAAAAUCCAUUCAAACCUUUACUUUUCUCGUUUUGGAAAAGUGCAUGAGGUGUUCCUUUUGGUAAAAAGACACACUGUGCGACCACAGAGACCUGAGCCUGAACCUAUGAAGAUGUGAACAAGGUGAACAAUGAGACUAUGUAAAGGGGAGGUUAAUUCCAAGGUGACAGGAGCUUUAUGGAGAAGAUUAUGAUUUCUACACUUUGUAUCCCCUUCUAACUCUAGUAUGAAGUUACAUUGUAUACGUUGGUGCUCUAAUCUCAGUCUGUGGAUAUUAGAUAUUAAGAUUGGGGAGAAAAUAAAACAGCCAGUUAAUGUGCACCAUUUUUAUAGGCACUGUCAGUAGCAUAUAAGAAAUAGCAUGUUUCUCAAAAGUAAAUCAGUUCAUAGUAGUCAGGUGGCACAUUUGGCAGGUACUUCUGUGAGCUUUUUUUUGCUAUCUUUAAACUCUUCAUUCAUUGAUCCCGUUAAUCCAAAGCUUAUUUAAUAACAUAAGCUUUUGGUUGUCAAUUAGGUGUCAGGAAAAACAGAGAAAUGAACAGCUAAUAUAAUGAGUUAAAAGGAUUGAGGCUGUAGGAAUAAUGUUACCAAGAAUAACUUUAGGAUUGUUUGCUACUGUAGCUAGCUGUGAUUAUCAAAAUAGGGAGAUGCCUGUUUUUCUCACAUAAAAGUAAUUGUGCAGGUAGGCUGAGGCUGACAUUGGUUCAGUUGCUCAAACAUAGUAAGACUGGCUUCCCUGUGCCUCUCUUCACUCUCCUUUCUGGUGCACAAUGACCAAGAGAGCUCCUGUCAUGUCUCCAUCCAUCAUGUCUCCAUCCAAUUAUAAGUAAAGAAAAUGCAGCACAAGCCCUGCCUGCACCCACAGUCAGGAAAAGCAAGAGGCUUUUUUUGAAUCCUAGCAGAAUUUUGCAUAAGCCUCUUGGUUUUAAAAAAGGUGAAUUUUAAAAUAAUAAAAUAAAAUAAAGCACAAACUCUGAGGCCAAGGUAAUAGGAUUUAAAUCUGUGCUCUGCCACUUAGAAAAAUUACUUAAAUUCUCUGUUCUUUAGGUUGCACACCUGUAAAAUGGGAGGAAGAAAAUAAUAUUUGACUCAUGGUUUUUAAAAUUUGAGGUGUUAUUUCUUUAAUAAACAGCUGCUAUCAUUUGAGAACACUUGCUAUUUAGGCAGUUAGGAAUUUUUCAUUAGAAGGGAUGUAAAGAAAGGAAUUUUUCAUUAGAAGGGAUGUAAAGAAAGACGAUGGGCAUUUGUAAUGGAUUUAACAUUCAUCAUUUGGCUGCCUGACUGACCCCCAGUGCUGUGAUUUUACUAAUGAAUUUUUCAGAAGUCCCUUAGCUAGGAAUGAGCCUAACCAGCCUCCCACUCUCACCAUUCAGUGCUCUUGUUCUUAUGUGUUUCUCUACAAACUUGGUUACUCUCACAAAGUGAUAAAAACUUGCAUUUCUUUUCUUUCCUUUUUAGAGACAGGAUCUUGCUCUGUCACUCAGGUUGCAAUGCAGUGGUGUGAUCAUGGCUCGCUGUAGAUUCAAACUCCUGGGCUCAAGCAGUACUCCCGCCUCAGCCUCCCAAGUAGCUUGGACUACAGACGUACACCACCAUGCAAAGCUAAAUUUUUUAUUUUUUUGUUGUAGAGAUGGGAUCGUGCUAUGCUGCCCAGGAUGAUCUCAAACUCCUGUCCUCAAUUGAUCCUCCUGUCUCAGCCUCCCAAAGUGCUGGGAUUAUAGGCAGCCAUGGGCCAUCUGUGUCCAGUCUGCUAUUUUCUUUUUUUAAAUAACAACUUUAUUGAAAUGUAGUUCACAUACCAUGCAAUUUAUUUAUCAAAGUAUGCAAUUCAGUGGUUUUUAGAAUACUCAUGGAGCUGUGAUCUAUCACUACUAUCCAUUUUAGAAGCUUUCAUUACCCUAUAGAGAAAUCCGCUGUUCUUUGCCACUAGCUAAGAACAUGGCGGGGAGUAAGCUAGUGGCUUACUCCCCUCAACACUUCUGUGUUCCCCAUAGGCAACCACUGAUCUAUUUUUUGUCACCAUAGAUUUGCCUAAUCUGGACCUUCUAUAUAAAUAGGGUGUGCAAUAUGUGAUUGUUUGUGGCUGGGUUUUUUUUCCCUCUUAGCACAGUGUUUUCAGAGUUCCUUCCUGUCAUAGCAUGUGUCAGUAUUUUGUUCCUUCUAUGGCUGAAUAAUAUUCCAUGGUACAGAUACACCACAUUUUAUUUAUUCUUCAGUUGAUGAACAUUUGGGUUGUUUCCAUGUAUUGGCUGUUAUGAAUAAUGCUGCUAUGAAGAUUCAGGUACAAGUUUUUGUGUGGACAUACAUUUUUAUUUUUCUGGGAUAUAUACCUAGGAGAGAAAUUGUUGCAUUCUAUGAUGUUGUACAUUUAGCCUUUUGAGAAACUGUUUUCCAAAGUGGUUACACCAGUCAGGUGCAGUGACUGAUGUAAUCCCAGCUACAUGAGAGGCUGAGUUGGGAGGAUCACUUGAGCCUGUGAGUAAAGAGAGACCAGCUUGGGCAAGAUAGCAAGACCCUGUCUCGGUUUUUGAAAAAUCAAAUUAAAAUGACAAGAAGACAGGUACGGUGGCUCAUGUCUGUAAUCCCAGCACUUUGAAAGGCCGAGGUGGGUGGAUAACUUGAGGUCAGGAGUUCAAAACCAGCCUGGCUGGGUAUGGUGGCAGAUGCCUGUAAUCCCAGCUACUCGGGAGGUUGAGGCAAGGAGAAUUUUUUGAACACAGGAGGUGGAGGUUGCAGUGAGUCAGGAUCACACCACUGCAUUCCAGCCGGGGCAAAAGAGUGAGACUCUGUCACACAAAAAAAGUAAAAAUAUAAAUAAAUAAAUAAAAUGACAAGAAAAGAAACACCCAAAGUAGUUAAACCAUUUUGUGUUGCCACCAGUAAUGUAUGUGGGUUCCAAUUUCUCCACAUUUUCACCAACAUUUCUUUUUUUGAGAUACGAUCUCACUGUGUCACUUAGGCAGGAGUGCAGUGGUGUGAACACGGCUCACUGCAGUCUCGAACCCCCAGAGACUCGUGAUCCUUUUAUUUCAGCCUCUUGAGAAGUUGGGACUACAGUCAAACUCCAGCACACUCAGCUAAUUUCUUUUAUUUUUAGUAGAGACAGGAUUUCACUAUGUCACCCAGGCUGGUUUCUAACUCCUGGACCCAAGUGAUCCACCUUCCUUGGCCUCCCACACUGCUGGGAUUAUAGGUGUGAACCACCAUGCCUGGUCCUCUCUCUCUUCCCUUUCUUUCUUGGUAGAAGGAAACGUGUCAUGUACCAGCUAUCCAUCCAAUGACUGCCCAUCAGUUCCAUAUUCACCCUUCACUGCCUGAUCUGCAAACAUAGAGGAAGUGACCUCAUAAUGACUCAAGCUACCACUUACUGUUGAUUGUGAUGAAAUGCCAGUGGAGGCACAUGCCUUGGGAGCUAAGUGGCUGCUGCACUUGACCACUAUGAAGACUGGUGUGGGAAGAAUCCUUUUGGAUGCACUUCAGCAGGGACCCCUGAUCCCUGGGUCACAGGUCUGUACUGGGCCACACAACAGGAGGUGAGUAGAGGGUGGGGGAGCGAAGCUUCAUCUGUAUUUACAGCUGCUCCCCACAUUACCACCUGAUCUCUGCCUCCUGUCAGAUCAGCGGCAACAUUAGAUUCUCAUGUGAGCACGAACCCUAUUGUGAACUGUGCAUGCAAGGGAUCUAUCUUGCUCUGUCCUUAGGAGAAUCUAAUGCCUGAUGAUCUUUCAUUGUCUCUCAUCACCCCCAGAUGGGACCAUCUAGUUGCAGGAAAAGAAGGUCAAGACUCCCACUCAUUCUACAUUAUGCCUCAGCCAAGAUGUCUCACCCUACUCUCUAUGAUGCAACAAGAAGCCCCUGGGGAACGUUUCAGUCCCAGUCUAUACUAUUGUCAUGUGCUCAUCACAGUCUGCUGGAUCUACCAUGAAAGACUUCAGAGUCCAGGAAGAGAGACUGACUGGGCAACAUGUUAUUCAGUUACAAAAAGACUUGGACUAUGACUCAAAAAUGAUCAAAUAAUAGUUCAUGCAUCAAAUGCAAUAGGAAGUACUUCUGGAGGGUGAGAGAAGCAUCCAGUUAAGGUGACAUUGAAGCUGGGUCCUGAAAGAUGAGGAAGAAUUGUAUGAGAGUGGGCAGAGAAGGGGGAGGUGGAGGGAUGGGGAAUGGGCUGGGAUGGAGUGAGCUGCUCAAGCAGGGAGACCAGCACUGUAAAGACCUGGAUGAUAAAGACGGCACAUUUUAUUCAUGGAAUGGUGAAUUAAGUGUGGCAGGAAUGCUUUGGAGAGAUAGUAAUUUGCUUGUAUGGAAUUUUGCCCGAGAGGCCUCAUUACAGUUUCUAAUCUUUUGAUGUUAUCAUCUAUCACUGUCCUUGUCAAAUAGUUUGGAAUAGGUAUAAUGAUCACAAUAACAUCAAGCAUAAUAUUUCAUUAAUUCUCACAAAAUCACAGGUAGGUGCCACAGUUAUCCCCAUUUUGUGAAUGAAGUGAUGAAGACUUAGGAAUAAUGAGUGAUUUGCCCAAGCUCACCUGGAUAUUAAGACUGAGUCAAAUGUGGGGUCUGGUCUGACUUUAAUGUUUGCUUUGUUCAUGAGCACCACGUAUUGCCUCUCCUAUGCAGUUAAGCAGGUAGACAGGUGAAAGAAAAGCCCGUGUUAGUCUCUACUCACACACUUCCGACUGAAUGUGUGUGUGGAAUUUCUACACCAAGUUCUCCAAUGCUCUGGAUAUUAACUGGGUAUCCUACAAUUUUAUUCUGACACUUCCUGGAGUUGGCGUAGACCCCACAGGUUACGGGCUCAGUCCCACAAGACCACCCUUGCUUCACAUUGCAAUGGCAAGUCCUAGGUUGUCACCUGCACUUUUGACCAACCUGUUACAAAUCAGGGGUUCCCAUGACCCCCUCUUGGUGUUUAAUCAUUUGCUAGAGCAGCUUACAGAACUCAGAAAAAGUUUGUUUCCUUUUUUUCUGAGAGACAGGGUCUCAUUUUGUUGUCCAGGCUGGUGUGCAGUGGUGCAGUCAUAGCUCACUGCAGCCUCGACUGCCUGGGCUCAAGUGGUCCUCCCACCUCAGCCUCCCUAGUAGCUGAGACUAAAUGCUUGCACCACCAUUUCUGGCUAAUUUAUUUUUUGUAGAGAUGGGGUCUUGUUAUGUUGCACAGGUUGGCCACAAAUUCCUGGGCCCAAGUGAUCCUCCCACCGCAGCCUCUUUGAAGUGCUGGGAUUACAGAUGUGAGCCACCACAUUUCCUAUUACUGGUUCCUUGUAAAGGAUACAUUGCAGAAACAGCUAAUGAAAGAGAUGUAUGUGCCAGAUGCAGUGGCUCACGCUGUAAUCCCAACACUUUGGGAGGCCGAGGUAGGAGGAUUGCUUAAACUCAGGAGUUUGAGACCAGCCUGUGCAACACGGUGAAACCCUGUCUCUGUAAAAAAUUUUUAAAAAGCUGGGCACGGUGGCUCAAGCCUGUAAUCCCAGCACUCUGGGAGGCCAAGGUGGGUGAAUCACGAGGUCAGGAGUUGAAGACCAGUCUGACAAACAUGGUGAAACCCCGUCUCAACUAAAAAUGCAAAAGUUAGCCAGGCGUGGUGGCGCGCACCUACAAUCCCAGCUACUUAGGAGGCUGAGGCAGGAGAAUCGCUUGAACCUGGGAGGUGGAGGUUGCAGUGAGCUGAGAUAGCACCACUGCACUUUAGCCUGGGCAACAGAGCUAGACUCUUGUCUCAAUAAAUAAAUUAACCGAGUGCGGUGGUGUGCACCUGUAGUUCCAGUUACUACAGAACUAGACUCCAUCUCAAUAAAUUAAAUAAGUAAAUAAAUAAAUGAAUAAAUAACUGAGUGUGGUGGCAUGCACCUGUAGUUCCAGUUACUAGGGAAGCUGAGGUGAGAGGAUGUUUUGAUCUGGGGACUGGGGAGGCUUAGGUUGCAGUGAGGUAAGAUUGUGCCACUGCACUCUAGCCUGGAUAAAAGAGCCAGACACUUUCUCAAAAAAAAAAAAAAAAAAAAAAAGAUGCCCAGGGCAAGGUAAGUGGGGAGGGGCACAGAGCUCCCAUGCACUUUAUUGAACAUGCCACCCUCCCAGCAUCUCCUAUGUUCAGCAACCCAGAAGCUCUGCAAUCCCUGUUGUUCAGGGUGUUUAUGGAGGCUUUAUUAUGCAAGCACGAUUGAUAAAAUCCGUGGCCAUUGGUGAUUAAGUCAAUCUCCAGCCCGUCUUGCCUCCUGGAGUUAAGCGGGUGAUGCUGAAAGUUCCAAGCCUCUAAUCAUGUGGUUGCUUUUUCUGGCAAUCAGCCCUCCUCCUAAAGAAAUCUAGGAGCUUGCAGCCACUCAUCAUCUCAACAAUAUCCCCAAAUGCAUUCUUGUCAUGCUUGAGAUCCCAAAGUUCUUAAAGUCUCUUGUGUUAGAAACCUGGGACAAAGACCAAAUAUUAAAACAAAAGAUGCUCCUAUCACCUCUAACACUGAGGUCUUUAUAAGAGCUUUAGAAGCUCUGUGCGAGGAACCAGGGACAGAGACCAAAUAUAUUUUUCUGUUCUUUUUUUGAGACAAAAUCUCCCCAUGUCAUUCAGGGUGGAGUGCAGUGUUGUGAUCAUAGCUCACUACAGCUUUGACCUCCUGAGCUCAAGUGAUCCUCCCACCUGAGCCUCUUAAGUAGCUGGGACUACACAUGCAUGUUACCCAUGCCCAGCUCAUUUUUGUAGAGAUGAAAUUUAAUUAUGUCGCCCAGGCUGAUCUCAAACUCCUGGGCUAAAGCGAUCAUCUCACCUCAGCCUCUCAAGUAGCUGGGAGUACAGGCACACACCACCAUGUCUGGCUAAUAUUUAUUUUUAUUUUUUCAUAGAGGUGAGGUCUCACUAUGUUGUCCCGGCUGGUUUCAAACUCUGGGCCUCAAGUGUUCCUCCUGCUUUGACCUCCCAAAGUGUUGGGAUUAUGGGUGGAAGCCACCAUGCCCAGCAAUUACAAGGAUUUUUUUUUGUUUUUUUUUGUUUUUUGAGACGGAGUUUCGGUCUUGUUGCCCAGGCUGGAGUGCAGUGGCGCGAUCUCGGCUCACCAAAACCUCCACCUCCUGGCUUCAAGCGAUUCUCCUGCCUCAGGCUCCAGAGUAGCUGGGAAUACAGGCAUGCGCCACUACACCCGGCUAAUAUUUGUAUUUUUAGUACAGACGGGGUCUCUCCCUGUUGGUCAGGCUGGUCUCAAACUCUUGACCUUAGGUGAAUCACAAUGAUCUUUAUAAAAGAAAGAGGGUAGGAGAGUCAGAACUGGAGCUGGAGAUGUGAUGGAAGCCGAGGUCAGAGAGGGAGAUUUGAAGAUGCUUCACUUCUGACUUUGAAAAUGGAGCAAGGGGCCAUGAUCCAAGGAAUGGGGGUGGCUUCUAGAAGCUGGAAAAGCCAAGAGAAAAUGUUAGAGCCUAGAGCCUUCAAAAGGAAUGCAGCCCUGCUGACACCUUGACUUUAGCUUUAAUAGACCUAGUUUGGGCUUCUGGCCCCCAGAAUUGUAAAGAUGGUUGAUCUGUGUUUUUAGCCACUAAAUGUAGGAAAGUUUCUUGCAGCCACAAGAAGAAAUGAACAUGAAGCCAGGCAUGGUGGCUCAUGCUGGUAAUCCCAGCACUUUAGGAAUCCAGGCAGGAGGAUCACUUGAGGCCAGGAGUUCAAGACUAGCUUGGGCAACAUAGUGAGACCCUGUCUCUACAAAAAAUUUAAAAAAUGGCUCAGUGCAGUGGCUUGUGCCUGUAAUUUCAGCACUUUGGGAGGCUGAGGCAGGCAGAUCACCUGAGGUCAGGAGUUCAAGAACAGCCUGGCCAACAUGGCAAAACCCCAUAUCUAAUGAAAAUACAAAAGUUAGCCAGGUAUGAUGGCACGCGCCUGUAAUCCCAGCUACUAGGAAGGCUGAGGCAGGAGACACCCUUGAAACUGGGAAGUGGAGGUUGCAGUGAGUCAGGAUCGCACCAUUGCACUCCAGCCUGGGCAAGAAGAGCGAAAUUCCAUCUUAAGAUAAAAUGAAAUAAAAUAAUAAAUCAGCCAGGCAUGAUGACAUGGACCUGUAGUCUCAGCUACUAGGGAGGCUGAGGUGGGAGGAUUGCUUGAGCCCAGGAAUUGGAGGUUGCAGUGAGCUGUGAUUGCACCACUGCACUCCAGCCUUGGUGGCAGAGUGAGAUCUUGUCUCCACAAACAAACAAACAAACAAACAAAAAAAAAAGAAUAAUUAUGGUAGGCAUGGGGACAGAUGGCAAUGUUAAUAGAAUAGUCAGGGUGGCCUCCUAAGUAAAAAUUGAGCAAAGACUUGAAGGAGGGGAAGGAGUUGGCCAAGGUGCUGAGGGAAGAGCAUUGUAGGUAGAAAAAACAGAAUAAGGUGUCUGAGGUGUGUCUGAGGCUCUGGAAGGAGGCCAGUGGAGCAGGAGAGAGGGAGAGAAUUAGGGCAGUAGGCCAGAGAUUUGCUGGGCAGGGAUCAGUACAGACCGUGUAAGCCCUGGGAGGUUAUUGCUGGGCUAGAUAGGAAAUUCAGGAGGGUUCUGAGCAGAGAGGCCACGUGAUCUGUCUGCCGAUUUAAAAGCAUUCUCUGGCUGCUGAGUUGAGAAAGACUGUGGGAAGAUUUGGGUAGAAGCAUGGGGGCCAAGCUGUGGCAACAUCCAGGUGGGAGAUGAUAGUGGUCUUGACCAGGGUCAUGGUGGUGUUGAGAGAUGGUCAGAGGAGAGAAGUAGGGGGAGGAGGCCAGGGAGUUGCUGGGUGGGGAUCUUCAGUACAUGUUGAAGCCAGUCAACAGGAUUUCCUGUCAGACUGGAUGUGGAAUGUGAGAGAAGGCAGGGGUCAAGGUUGAGUUAGAUUCUUACCGAAUUAUUAAGUAAUUUUAAAAAACACUACUGUCUUUCCCAGUCCUAUCAAGUAUGGGAUACUAGAUUAAAGAAAUAUCUUCAGGCUCAGUGUAGUGGCUCAUGCCUGUAGUCCCAGCUGUUUGGGAGGCAGAGAUGGGAGUAUCUUUUAAGGGCAGUAGUUCGAGACCGGCCUGGGCAACAUAGCAAGACCUCCUCUCAAUAAAUAUAUUUUUCAAAAUUUAGUAAAACGAAAUGUAGCUAAGCAUGCUGAUGUGUACUUGUAGUCCCAGCUACUCAGGAGGCUGAGGUGGGCAGAUCUUUUGAGGUCAGGUGUUUGAGGCCAGCUUGGGCAACAUAGCGAGACCCCACACUCUACAAAAAAAAUUUAAAAAAUAGCCAGGUAUGGUGGCACUCAACUGUGGUACCAGCCAUUGGGGAGCUGAGGCAGGAAGAUGGCUUAAAUUCAGAAGGUUGAGGCUUCAGUGAGCUAUAAGUGCACAAGUGCUCUCCAGCCUGGGCGACAGAGCAGGACCGUGUCACAAUACAAAUUAAGUAAUUAAAUCAUAAGUUAGAGCCUUUAGGCUUUGUAGCCCUUGCAACCCCGGAGCCAUGCAGUGGGAUUUGCAUCGCUGGGAAUGAAGAGACCCCUGCCCAGUAUUGCUGCCUGACUAAUCAGUGUUUUAAAAAAUAUAUGAAUCUGUUGGGAGGCCGAGGUGGGCGGAUCACGAGGUGAGGAGAUCUAGACCAUCCUGGCUAACACGGUGAAACCCUAUCUCUACUAAAAAUACAAAAAAAUCAACCGGGCAUGGCAGUGGGCACCUGUAGUCCCAGCUGCUGGGGAGGCUGAGGCAGGAGAAUGGCAUGAACCUGGGAGAUGGAGCUUGCAGUGAGCCGAGAUUGUGCCACUGCAGUCCAGCCUGGGGAACAGAGCGAGACUCUGUUUCAAAAAAAAAAUAUAUAUAUAUAUAAAUAAAUAUAUAUGUAAAUAUAUAUAAUGUAUAAAAAUAUAUAUGUAAAUAUAUAAUAUAUAAAUAUACAUGCCAAUAUAUAUUAAUAUGUAUGUGAAUAUUAAUAUAUAAAUAUAUAUUAUAUAUAAAUAUAAAAAUAUAUGUAAAUAUAUUAAUAUAUAAAUAUACAUGCAAAUAUAUAUUAAUAUGUAUGUAAACAUUAAUAUAUAUGUAAUAUAUAUAAUUAUAUAUAUUAAUCAGUGUGGGCACAAUGGCUUACACCUGUAAUCCCAGCACUUUGGGUGACCGAGGUGAUCAACUGAGGUCAGGUGAUCACCUGAGGUCAGGAUUUCGAGACCAGCCUGGCCAACAUGGCUAAACCACAUCUCUACUAAAAAAACAUAAAAAUUAGCCAGCCAUGGUGGUGGGCACCUGUAAUGCCAGCUACUUGGGAAGCUGAGCCAGGAGAAUUGCUUGAACCCAGGUGGCGGAGGUUACAGUGAGUCAAGAUCGUGCCACUUCACUCCAGCGUGCGUGAGUCAGACUUUGUUUCCCCCCCAAAAAAAAGUACUACUUACGUCAACUUGUAAUGGUUUUAUUAUUCAUGUGUAAUGAAUGUAUAUUUUAAAAAUUUGUCCUGUACUAUAUCAAUAUGAAAUGGUUUUAUUAAUAUGUAAUGAAUAAUAUUUAAAAAUUUUUGUCUUAUUUUCUAAUUUUAAUAUAUUUAUAUAAAGAAAAAGGCUUAAGAGAUCUUCAGUAGAGUUAAAAAAUGUAAAGGGAUGCUAGACCCAAAAAGAUUGGGAACAUGUAGUUUAGACAUAUUCAGAGUAAGCCACGUACAACUUGCUACUUUACCUAUUUUCUUUCCUUCUUUUUUUGUUUUGUUUUGUUUUAGAAGGUGAGGUCUCCUCUGCAACCCAGGCUGGAGUACAGUGGUGCAAUCACAGCUCACUGUAGCCUUGAACUCCUAGGCUAAGGCUCCUCCUGCCUCAGCCUCUUGAGUAGCUGGGACUGUAGUUAUAUAUGAUGACACCUGGCUAUUCUUUAAAUUGUUUUGUAGACAUGGGGUCUCACUUUGUUGGCCAGGCUGGUGUCAAACUCCUGGCCUCAAGUGACCUUUCUACCCCUGCCUCCCAUCCUAGAGGUAUGAGCCACCACAACAAGCACUUGUUCGAUUUUCUAAAAAACAAAUUUCCAAAUUAAGGCUGUGGGAUGAUGGCUAGAAGAUAAAAGUGGAAAAACAGAAGAAUAGGCCGGGCGCGGUGGCUCACGCCUGUAAUCCCAGCACUUUGGGAGGCCGAGGUGGGCGGAUCGUGAGGUCAGGAGUUCGAGACCAGCCUGGCCAACAUGUUGAAACCCCGUCUCGACUAAAGAUACAAAAAAAUUUAGCCAGGCGUGGUGGCACGUGCCUGUAAUCCCAGCUACUCGGGAGGCUGAGGCAGGAGAAUCGCUAGAACCUGGGAGGUGGAGGUUGCAGUGAGCUGAGAUUGUGCCAUUGCACUCCAGCCUGGGUGACAGGGCAAGACUCUAUCUCUAAAAAAGAAAAACAGAAGAAUAAAUUCUAAUGACUUACACAUAUUCUUUUGACAGCAAGAAGAACUUUUAGUAAAUACAUUCCUUACAAACAAACAGAAGGCAAAUAAACACUUGUACAGGAACUUCAACACACACUGUACAAUAUUCCCACUUUGCUGAUGUCAGUUAUGGAAAUUCUUCACGGUUUACUUGACUAUCGCUAUCAGUAUUUUGCAUCUCUCAUCAUUUUUGUCAACUUCCUCAUCUGCUAACUUCUCUCCAAGGUAUGUCAUAUUGUGACAUACUGCUGCUGCACAAACAUGGCCAGUGUAAUCCUAUUAAACACGUAGAAUCCUUCCCUAAUUUGUUUUUUUACCCUCUGUCUCUUUGUUUUGCAUUUUUCUUACCCUUAUUGUCAGAAACUCCAGAAAGUCAAUCGUAGUGAUUUAUCACCAAUUGCUCAAUUAAUUUAUACUUUGCUUACAUGGAAUUUUGCCCAACAGACAUCAUUACAAUUUCUAACCUUUUUUUUUUUUUC